rnacentral:rRNA from 1 species
AGCUAAUAGAUACCCAGGUAGUCCACGCCCUAAACGAUGUCGACUGGUUGUUGGGGGUUUGACACUCUCAGUAAACGAAAGCUAAACGCGUGAAGUCGACCGCCUGGGGAGUACGGCCGCAAGGUUAAAACUCAAAGGAAUUGACGGGGACCCGCACAAGCGGUGGAUUAUGUGGAUUAAUUCGAUGCAACGCGAAAAACCUUACCUACCCUUGACAUGUCCGGGUAGCCUGCUGAGAGGCGGGUGUGCCCGAAACGGGGACCGGAACACAGGUGCUGCAUGGCUGUCGUCAGCUCGUGUCGUGAGAUGUU